rnacentral:lncRNA from 1 species
AUGUGGGAUGAUUGCCUGUUUCAUCAAGUGAUGCCAUUAGAGGCUGAAUCUACCUGUGCAUUGCAUGGCCGUGAUUUCGCUACAACCAAGCUCUCCCUCAUGUGGGAAGAAAACACUACGCUCUAUGAAGUAAAUAUCAAGAUACACAUUAAGGAAAUCAAGGCUUCAAGAAAUUUAUCUGAAGUUCAGCAGCUGGGAGGUGGAGGAGAUGGCAUUGUCUGCUUCAUAGCCUGAGCUCAUGGGAACUUGAUGGGAGGGGUUGAUGAGCCAGCUUUAUUCUAAAUGACUGAAGACUUCUGUUCUUUUCAACAAACACAGUCCUCCAAUUAGGAGCUGCAAAUAAGAUUAUAUGCCCUGAAUAAGUCUGAAAAGGUCCUUUUAUAAUUAGAAAGUUUGUGUGUGGGAAGUGGAAGCAGCAUUAAGUGUUCACUGUGGCUUUAUUAAGAAAGUGACAUGAAGAUUUCCCAAAUCCUCAUCUGAGUACUCUAAAAUGAUAAAAUAAAAAUCAUAGAAAACAGUACGUAUAUUCCAUUUCUUUUUUUUUUCCCC